rnacentral:rRNA from 1 species
GGCGAACGGGUGAGUAACCGUGAGCAAUCUGCCCUUCACUCGCGGAUAACUACCGGAAACGGUGGCUAAUACGUGAUGCGACCGCUUCCUGCAUGGGAUGGUGGUGGAAAGUUUUGGCGGUGGGGGAUGAGCUCGCGGCCUAUCAGCUUGUUGGUGAGGUAAUGGCUUACCAAGGCUUCGACGGGUAGCCGGCCUGAGAGGGUGACCGGCCACACUGGGACUGAGACACGGCCCACACUCCUACGGGAGGCAGCAGUGGGGAAUAUUGGACAAUGGGCGAAAGCCUGAUCCAGCAACGCCGCGUGAGGGAUGACGGCCUUCGGGUUGUAAACCUCUUUCAGUACCGACGAAGCGCAAGUGACGGUAGGUACAGAAGAAGCACCGGCCAACUACGUGCCAGCAGCCGCGGUAAUACGUAGGGUGCGAGCGUUGUCCGGAAUUAUUGGGCGUAAAGGGCUCGUAGGCGGUUUGUCACGUCGGGAGUGAAAACUCGGGGCUUAACUCCGAGCCUGCUUCCGAUACGGGCUGACUAGAGGUAUGCAGGGGAGAACGGAAUUCCUGGUGUAGCGGUGAAAUGCGCAAUAUCAGGAGGAACACCCGGUGGCGAAGGCGGUUCUCUGGGCAUUACCCUGACGCUGAGGA